UACGUAGGGUGCAGGCGUUAAUCGGAAUUACUGGGCGUAAAGCGUGCGCAGGCGGUUUCUUAAGUCAGAUGUGAAAGCCCCGGGCUUAACCUUGGAACUGCGUUUGAAACUGGGAGACUUGAGUGUGGCAGAGGGGGGUGGAAUUCCACGUGUAGCAGUGAAAUGCGUAGAUAUGUGGAGGAACACCGAUGGCGAAGGCAGCCCCCUGGGUUAACACUGACGCUCAUGCACGAAAGCGUGGGGAGCAAACAGG
rnacentral:rRNA from 1 species